UGGAGCUAGCCGGGUUCGAACCGGCGACCCUCUGCUUGCAAAGCAGAUGCGCUACCAGCUGCGCUAUAGCCCC
rnacentral:tRNA from 1 species